rnacentral:rRNA from 1 species
GGGCCCGCACAAGCGGUGGAGCAUGUGGUUUAAUUCGAUGAUACGCGAGGAACCUUACCAGGGCUUAAAUGUAAGUUGCAUAGAGUAGAGAUAUUCUUUUCUUCGGACUACUUACAAGGUGCUGCAUGGUUGUCGUCAGCUCGUGCCGUGAGGUGUCAGGUUAAGUCCUAUAACGAGCGCAACCCCUGUUGUUAGUUGCCAGCGAGUCAAGUCGGGAACUCUAACAAGACUGCCAGUGCAAACUGUGAGGAAGGUGGGGACGACGUCAAGUCAUCAUGGCCCUUACGUGUAGGGCUACACACGUGCUACAAUGGCCGGUACAAACGGUUGCGAACCCGCGAGGGGAAGCUAA